rnacentral:rRNA from 1 species
UACGGAGGGUGCAAGCGUUAUCCGGAUUCACUGGGUUUAAAGGGUGCGUAGGUGGGCAGUUAAGUCAGUGGUGAAAUCUCCGGGCUUAACCCGGAAACUGCCAUUGAUACUAUCUGUCUUGAAUAUCGUGGAGGUAAGCGGAAUAUGUCAUGUAGCGGUGAAAUGCUUAGAUAUGACAUAGAACACCAAUUGCGAAGGCAGCUGGCUACACAAAUAUUGACACUGAGGCACGAAAGCGUGGGGAUCAAACAGG